AACGCCGCCUCCCCCAGCGUCCGCCGCCGCCGCGCCGGGCGAGAGCGCCAUGGAUGGUGCUACCGUGCGAGCGCGGCAUGUCAUGGUAGUAUAUUCUCCAUCGUCUUGGGCCAUCUCCGCCGCUGAUUAGAAGCCAUCUGUUCGCUCCUCGUCUCCUCUCUUUCAGCAUCACCGCCACCGCCAGUACCCGGUCGUCUUCGCCGCCGAUUGGCGCCGCCAUGGAGCAGCCGGACUACGCUUAUUCCCCAUCUACUCCCUCUCUCGUUCUCGCUGUCGCCGCCGCCCAGUACUGCCGCCUCGCUAUUCUGCUGCUAACCCUAGCCGCCUCUACCCAAGAUGAGGAGAUGCCUUCGAUCGCAGCCAUCGUACGUCGGAAUCUACAUGAGCGAAGGUUCAGCAGCGGAUGGCUACAUGGAGCAUCACCAUCCUCCAUAGCAGACGUGAUGAGCAGCGGGACGGUCGGAAGGAGUUCCUUCGAGUCCCCGGCCACAUCUCCGGUGAGCCAUGUCUGGCGGCGGGUGCAGCUGUACAAUCUGGAUCUCAGGCCGCUCGAAGCGGUCGCCUUUUUCAGCAAGGCUGGCAUGCACUUUGGGGAGGCAUAUGUGAACAUCGAAGAGCUUUGUGCACUUCAUAUGCGAGCGUGAGUUUGAGCUUUGUGCACGUACGAUGGCAGAGUGCCCUUUGGCUUUGACGAUGCAUGAUGAAGCGAUGACUGUCAGGUGUAAGCUAUCAGCACAGAUUUGUUCAUUGGAAACGAUGCUACAGUUUCCACAUAGGUGUGUAACACAGUCCACGUCCUUAGGAAUCUCAUAGAAUGUUUGUAAAAUAGCUUUUCUAUGUACUCAUCUUAUACACUAUUGAUUUUAAGAUCUAUGGUCAACUGAAAAAACGUGAAGAGUCCGGGCAUUUAGUUUGCAUCGGAUGUGAUUAUAAUUUGCUUGGCUAUUUAAAAGACUAAGUGAAUAAGAAGACAACCAGACCAUGCUUGCAGCACUGUUAGUUGUGUUGUUGUGGAUCAUAUGUCGUCACCAUUCUCAAGUGUUAUUGAAGGAGGUCCUUCCAAGGCAGAAGCUAGAGGUUAGCAAUACAUGGGUUAGCAUUUUCUUCAUGGCGCCUUGUGUUGUUGGACAGUAAGCUGACAUACAAGUACAUGAGCUACAUUUGCCUUGGAUUACGAGUAGAGCGAAUCAUGCUGUCGAAUAAUUAUUAUUCAGAAGCAAAGCUAGCGUCAUUGUCUUUCUAGAAAUAUGAUUGUUCAUUAUCUUGAGUAAGACACAAUUACUUAUGUUCUUGCUUUAUAUCUCUUGUCAUUGUUUAUACUCUUGGGAUAGCUUUUAUUAAAAAUUACUUGAAGAGUAAUUGUUUUGAUUUGUUGUAUUUCAGUCGUGAAGAUUUAACUCUAUUUUCUUAAUUCGGUUUUUCAGUUGCGAAGAUCAAGGAUUGAAUUCCAGUUUCUACAGACACACAGUAGCCAUCCGUCCUCGCCCCAUGUGCUCCGCCCAACAAGGUAUGAGCUCCCUUUAUGUUUAGAAAUAGGGUUGAUUUUCUUGGAAUUUUUCAGUACUACAUAUAAUAUUGGCAUUGCAUGUUAUAUGUACAUGUUUAUUUGGUUAACCAUUCACCGAGUGCAUGCAAUAUUUUUCGUCCCACGCGGCGGCGAGGAUGGAGGCAUAGAAGGAGCGUGACGGUGCGGGCUCGCAGCCCUACCUUUCCGAUUCGCCUCCUUAUCUGUAGUGGCUGCCACUCAAUCAAUCUAACCUGCACAAAUCGGAAUAUGGUGGCAGCGUUGCAUGAACGGAUGCAUACAUGUAUCUGAUCCUCUAUGAGUUCAUUAACUACAUGAAAAGCUCUACAUGAAUGUUUACACCACCAUGCAGCACUUGACAGGAAGCGUCUUUUGACAGGACAUCUGAAAUUAAAAUGUGUGUGAUAGAAAAAGGCUUCUACAUGACUAUAUGAUUUGCUGCAUGAGACCAGAUGAUUCUUCUGGUUAAUGCAUUUGUGAGAAAUCCAAGAACAAAGGAGAAACUGGUAUUCAGGGUUAAGAGGGCCAGCCUCAUGGAUUACUUCCAACAACAUCCGGAGGGUGCAGUAGUACAUAUUUUGAUUGAUUACCAAGUGUUGGUGUACUAUACUCUUCAGUUCUUCAGAACUUUAUGAACUCGAGUGAGAUUCUCUGAAGAAAAAAGUUAAGGAGACAAUACUCAGUAUCUACUUCAAUCUCAAUUAUAAACACAAGAUGUGUGUGUGUUGUCAAGUGCAAACCUCUGGAGAUUGAUUUCACUAUCAUGCAAUACUUAAGGAUCAAGGUUUGUGGUUGAUACAUUAAAAUUCUGCUCUUUUACUUAUGGUGACAUCCCAAUGUAAAUGGAUCAUUAGGUUUGUUAUGUGCACUACCAUUACCUCCAUCGACAAUGGUACCAUCUUCUAUAGUUUUAUGGUCGUCAGUCGAGUUCUGCACACAGAUUAGCAAUGAAGGUGCAGUGCUGGAGUUGAAGGUUGAGGUGAGUGGCACACAAAGGAGGAGCGAAUAGAAAUGGAGGCAAAGCUGGUAUAUAUAUUUCUUUUUAAAUUUGGGAUAACGCUAGAGUGACUGGAGUUAGGUAAUGUUGAGCCACCGCGCCUACUAUAUAUAUGUAUAGCAGGACAUUGGAAUAUCUUUCGCGAAAUUGAUUGAGAUAUGUUCAAAUUUAUGAAUUCAUGUGUCAUGAA